rnacentral:rRNA from 1 species
CCUACGGGAGGCAGCAGUGGGGAAUAUUGCACAAUGGGGGAAAGCCUGAUGCAGCAACGCCGCGUGAGUGAAGAAGGAUCUCGGUAUGGAAAGCUCUAUUAGCAGGGAAGCAAAUGACGGUACGCGACCCAGAAGCCCCGGCUAAAUACGUGCCAGCAGCCGCGGUAACACGGAGGGGGGAAGCGUUAUCCGGAUGUACUGGGUGUAAAGGGAGCGUAGUCGGUGUGGCAAGUCUGAAGGGAAAGCCCUGGGCUCAACCCCGGGACUGCUUUGGAAACUGUCAUGCUGGAGUGGUGGAGAGGUAAGCGGAAUUCCUAGUGUAGCGGUGAAAUGCGUAGAUAUUAGGCGGAACACCGGUGGCGAAGGCGGCUUACUGG